GAUGUAGCUCAGUGGCAAAGCACUUGCCUACCAAGCAUGACGUCCUGGGUUCAAUCCCCAGUAUC
rnacentral:tRNA from 1 species